GAUCCUGGCUCAGGAUGAACGCUAGCUACAGGCUUAACACAUGCAAGUCGAGGGGCAUCGGGAAGAAAGCUUGCUUUCUUUGCCGGCGACCGGCGCACGGGUGAGUAACACGUAUCCAACCUGCCCUUUACUCGGGGACAGCCUUUCGAAAGAAAGAUUAAUACCCGAUGGCAUAAUGAUUCCGCAUGGUUUCAUUAUUAAAGGAUUCCGGUAAAGGAUGGGGAUGCGUUCCAUUAGGUUGUUGGUGGGGUAACGGCUC
rnacentral:rRNA from 1 species